rnacentral:sRNA from 1 species
GCCAGGCGUGGUGGCCCACGCCUGUAAUCCCAGAAGCUCAGGAGGCUGAGGCAGGAGCAUUACAAGGUCAAAGUCAGCCUCAGUAACUUACCCUGUCUCUA